rnacentral:sRNA from 1 species
UUCAUAUCGCAUCUUAGAACUACCAACUUGGACAUUGAUUUUAUUUGCUCUAUCAUAUCCUUUGGUUCUGAGUCCCCGCCUUCAAACCUCUCCUUCAACUAUGUCUUCUUAUUUGCUUGAGGGCAAGCAAAGACUAAGUUUGGGGGAGUUUAUAUGUCUAUAAUUUGCAUGUUUUCAGUGUCCAUUCAUCAUCGUUUUGAGUCCAGUUUCGUAUCAUUCAUCACUGUUUUAUAUCAUUUCUCAUCAUUCUUGCAUACUUUGCAUGAUUAGGAUAACUUUGCAUACAUAUUGCAUUUCUGAGUUGUUUUCAGGUGAUUUGGAGCUGUUUGCGAGCAAAUUGGAAGAAACGAGUCAGAACUAGAAGAUAUACUCGACCACCUGGUCGUGUGCAUCCAGCACCAUACUCGACCUCUUGGUCGAGUGACUUUGGAGCCAUUCUUCCCUUCUACUCGACCCCCUGGUCGAGUGACUUUGGAGCCAUUUUUCCCUUCUACUCGACCCCCUGGUCGAGUAACCUCAGCCCAAGCCACUCGAUGACGUUACUCGACCCCCUGGACGAGUAUCACUUCGCCACACCACCUGACAACACUUGGCCAUUCACUCUACCACAUUACUCGACCCCUUGGUCGAGUAUCACUUCGCCACACCACUUGACCACACUCGACCAUUCACUCUAUCAUUCUAUGGGCCGGGCGAUUAGGUUAUUGGCCCGUCUACUAUCAUUUUAUUUCGUUUUGUAUAAAUAGAUGUCUUAGGGUUCUGUCUGGAGACAUCUAGUCGACAUUGAGUUUUUGCUUCAGUUUUAUUUUUUGUUUUACUCUGCUACGCCGCUUUUGCUUCUACAACCUGUAAUUCGAGAUUUUUCCAAGUUAUUCAGAUUCCACAUUUGAUUUCAUCUGUCAUCCUGUUUCUCUACUAUUUAUCUCUUUACUUAUGCAAUAUUAUCAUUUAUCUGCGUUUAUGUCUUUGAGCAUGUUGUUUGAGUAGUGACUUAGAAUUCUUAGGGAUGGGAUAAAGUAGUUGUGGAAUCCGUACUCUGUAGAAUGGUUAAGUUUUAGAAUUGAUUGAAUCCCUUUACGACUAGUUGCGUUUACUGCUUAUUUCUUUCUGAUCAACUGGAAUUCGAUCCCAAGCAUUCCCGCACCCAGAAGGUGUUCGAUGGAAUGCUUGAUCCACUAGUUUCUAAGAUAUGCGUCUCUAUCCCAAUGGAUUGGCCGUCUAUGGUCAAAAUGUGUAACAAUCUAAAGGCUUUGACUAAUUCGAACACUACAAGAAUAUUGGGUUUUAAUAGCACUAUAAUAUAGCGUUUAUCUCAGUAAUGCUAUUGUUAUGUAACCACUUUAUUUUAAAUAGCGUUUGUGUAUAAUGAAACGCUAUGAUAUAAUAAACUUUAAGUCACGUGUUUAUUAAUCAGGUUUUCAAUAGCAGAAAUUAUUAAGAACGCUAUGUUAAAGUUAGGCGGUAACCUAAAAAAU